UACAGAGGUGGCAAGCGUUGUUCGGAAUUACUGGGCGUAAAGGGUGCGUAGGCGGUCGGGUAAGUCUGAUGUGAAAUCUCACAGCUUAACUGUGAAACUGCAUUGGAUACUAUUCGGCUUGAGAGUUGGAGGGGGGACUGGAAUUCUUGGUGUAGCAGUGAAAUGCGUAGAUAUCAAGUGGAACACCAGUGGCGAAGGCGAGUCUCUGGACGAUUCCUGACGCUGAGGCACGAAAGCCAGGGGAGCAAACGGG
rnacentral:rRNA from 1 species